rnacentral:rRNA from 1 species
UACCGGCGGCUCGAGUGGUGGCCACUAUUACUGGGCUUAAAGGGUCCGUAGCUUGAUAUGCAAGUCUUUUGAGAAAUCCGCCAGCUUAACUGGCGGGCGUUCAGGGGAAACUGCAUUUCUUGGGACCGGGAGAGGUGAGAGGUACUGCCGGGGUAGGAGUGAAAUCCUGUAAUCCCGGUGGGACCACCUAUAGCGAAGGCAUCUCACCAGAACGGGUCCGACAGUGAGGGACGAAAGCUGGGGGAGCAAA